rnacentral:rRNA from 1 species
GAUGAACGCUGGCGGCGUGCCUAAUACAUGCAAGUCGAGCGAACGGACGAGAAGCUUGCUUCUCUGAUGUUAGCGGCGGACGGGUGAGUAACACGUGGAUAACCUACCUAUAAGACUGGGAUAACUUCGGGAAACCGUAGCUAAUACCGGAUAAUAUUUUGAACCGCAUGGUUCAAAAGUGAAAGACGGUCUUGCUGUCACUUAUAGAUGGAUCCGCGCUGCAUUAGCUAGUUGGUAAGGUAACGGCUUACCAAGGCAACGAUGCAUAGCCGACCUGAGAGGGUGAUCGGCCACACUGGAACUUAGACACGGUCCAGACUCCUACGGGAGGCAGCAGGAGGGAAUCUUCCGCAAUGGGCGAAAGCCUGACGGAGCAACGACGCGUGAGUGAUGAAGGUCUUCGGAUCGUAAAACUCUGUUAUUAGGGAAGAACAUAUGUGUAAGUAACUGUGCACAUCUUGACGGUACCUAAUCAGAAAGCCACGGCUAACUACGUG